GAGACAAGCAUAUGACUACUGGCAGGAUCAACCAGGUAGCAUUCCUUCGCGACGCCGACACCCGCAGGAGGCCCAACAAGCCAUACGGCCAUUGGACGCUCAAGACGGGCGCAGCAGUCGUUCGUGUCGAUUGACAAAAUGCGUUGCUUGGGCAAAACGAAGGCCAAGAGACCCCGCACCCGCGCUUAACAUUCUGCAUCCGAGAGCACGGGCAGAACACCUCAUGGGCCAAGGCAACCACGCAACUGGGCGAGGCAUGCCAGGAACACGAGGCCUGCCUGGCGUCCACCCCACCACCCGUGAGGGCAUGGGGCGGAGAGGGACAAACGAAACCAUCGAAUUCCUUUCGGUAGGUAAGCAACACAGGAUACCGAA
rnacentral:misc_RNA from 1 species